rnacentral:piRNA from 1 species
UGAAUUAUAUAGGGAAGAGCCUCUGUAGG